GGCCCCAUCGUCUAACGGUUAGGACAUCGGCCUCUCACGUCGGUAAUACGGGUUCAAAUCCCGUUGGGGUCA
rnacentral:tRNA from 2 species